GUUUUCCGGCACUUGAUUUCUCUCCGAUUAUUCAUAAAAGCUAAGAAAAUCCGCUCCUUCCGACGAAAUCUCCGGCGAUCACCAUAUCUUCGUAAUCGUUUUCCUUUUGUUUCAACACUUAGUUGACUUCACCUUUUUCUUAAUCCUAGGGUUUUGAAAUGUGUAGGUGAUUAGCUAGAUUGUCAAUUUUUCGAUGUCGAACGCCGGUGAAGAAGAUAACGACGAUGUAUUGAGCGACGUAGAGGCCGAUGAUCCGGUACCUAUUGAUAUAAUUAAUUCUUCCUCACCAGAAGAUGUCUCAAUUGAGAAAUUCCGUGAGAUUCUCGCCGAGCUGGAUCGGGAGCGGCAAGCUCGAUUAGCCGCUGAGGAUUCUAAAUCGCAGCUGCAAGUUUCGUUCAAUAGAUUGAGAGUUCUCGCUCAUGAUGCGAUCAAAAAGCGGGAUGAGCACUCGAGACAACGCGAUGAAGCAUUGAGGGAAAAGGAAGAAGCUUCGACAACAGUUGAAAAGGUAACCGAGGAAUUGAAGGAAGUAACUCAGCAGAGAGAUGAAUUUUGUAAGGAGUUAGAGGAAGUGAAAAAGGCAAAAGAUUCGAUGAGAACUGAGAUGGAAACUUCAGGUUCAAUGUUAGUUAGUGGAAUUGAUAAGAUAUCUGGAAAAGUUAGUCAAUUUAAGAAUUUUGUAGCUGGUGGAUUACCUAGGUCACAGAAAUACACAGGAUUACCAGCAGUGGCUUAUGGGGUGAUCAAAAGGACGAACGACAUUGUAGAGGAGUUAUUGAGACAGAUUGAAUCAACAGCAAAGUCAAGAAAUGAAGCCCGUGAACAAAUGGACCAUAGGAAUUAUGAAAUUGCAAUUGAAGUUUCACAGUUAGAGUCAACGAUUAGUGGUUUGAGAGAUGAGGUUGCAAAGAAAGCUUCUGUUGUUGAGAGUUUAGAGAAAUCUAUAGGUGAAAAAGAUGAGAAAUUGUCUAAAUUAGAACAAGAGAUGUGUGAAAAGC
rnacentral:misc_RNA from 1 species